UUGCACUUCGAAUUGCUUUGGAUAUUUGAAUGAUAAAGGGAAGAGUCUUCGCAUAAAAUUUAAAAAGUGGAAAACUGUCAAAAAAAAAGAAAGAAAAAAAGUGAAAUAGUAGAAGAAAAGUGAAUUAAUAAUACAGCGAUAAUUGUGACCGUGUGUAGAAAUAGUUGGAAGAGUUGCGGCGCAAAGUGUAUUCUUAAAGAAUUAAACGCGUAAAAUAUGCAGCAGCAACAAUUUUAUAACUCUUGUAUCAAAAUAAACGGAAUACCUCUUCUUUCACCGCUGAUGACUGACAGCAUCAAAGAAGAAAUGAGACAUUAUAGAGCUUUGGCAAUUAAAAUAGAAGAAAAAUUAAAAGAUAGAAAACUUAUUAAACACAAUAUUAAAGAUAAGUGCGUACAAGCUAAUGUAAUGGAAACAAUAGAUCAAUUAAAAAGUAUCAAAUAUGAUUCAGACAGUGAUUUAUCUAAUCAUGAUACUACGAGCGAUACCAAUAAUAGUGACUCGUAUUCUAGAAUGACCAUUGUUGAAUCAUUGCCAGGAGAAACAAGAGAUAAAUAUAAUCAGUCUACUGCAUCAGAUGUGGAACAUUCACAAAUUCAAGUUUGUUUAACAGAUAAUGUUAUUGAUACAAAACCUGCAAUUGCAAAAACUGACCAAAAUGAAUACAUUAAUGCAACAGAAGCACCAACAGUGAAUGAAGAUGUAUCAGAAAGUAAACCCAAAGUACCCAAUACACUGAAUAUAGUUCCAAUAACAUUAAGUAAUGAAGAGGACAACAUUGGUGCAGUGAUGUCCAAGGAGAAAGAAAGUCCUCCUAAAUUAUCGCGUCAAGGUUCUUACGUAUUGGAUACACCCAGUCCUAUGUUGCUUGCUCAUAUGAAUACAGAAUUGAUUGAUAAGAAUUAUGUUCCCACAUCUACCAAUAAUGUAUCGCGACGAAAACAAUGGAACAUAACACAGCCUAAAGUAAAGUGGGAAAAUAAGCAACUUGUAGCAGAGAAUGCCAAACAAGUCUCAAACAAAUUAGAAUGCGCAACAGAUGAAUCAACUUUUCAGCAUCCAGAGUUUGAUACUUUAGCAGAAUCAUAUCAAAUAGACCAAUCUGUUAGUAAUAGCAAAACAGAAGUUACUGAAGAACAUAUAUGUAAAUUAAAUAUUACAUCAACUAAAUGUAGUGAUGUAUCUGAUACAAGUCUUGCGAAACAAAGUUCCUUAGAAAUAUUCGAAAAUGAUAGUGAUAUUUGUGUAUCAAAGUUAUCAAAUAAAAAAACUGUAGAAAAUACAAAUAGUUAUAAAUCUGAAUUUUCUUGUGAAGAUGAAAAUAGAGAUCGAGAUAAAAUAGAAGAUACUAAAGAACAUCAUAAUUUAAUUGUUAAAACAAAAUCAUCUAUUACACCUGAAAAACUUUUAACAGUCUACAAAGAGAUUGAAGAAAUGCAUAAGAAACAGAUGAUGGAGCUGAUAUAUCGCCAACAAAAAGAACAAUUUUUGUUACAAGCAGAAUUUCAGAAACAACAAAUGCUUUUAUUAGCUGAAAUAGAAAAAUGUUCUUCCAAUAUAUCGUAUCAAGUAAAUGCAUCAUCAAACGUAACAUCGAAUCAAUUAUUAAUAAAUAACAAAGAAAAACUAGGAAACAUCGAAAUUAGCGAAACGAGACAGGAAUUAAAUGUAAAUUCUGCUAGCAAAAUACACGAAGACGCGCAUUAUAAUAAUAAAUCAUCACCAAUGAAGCAUAAAAAUGUCAUUGUAUGCCCGCUAGAUUAUAUUUCCUCCAAAAAUUUAUAUUUGUUUAAACACUAUAAACCACCUUUUUUUACGGAUACUUCUCCCAUAACUUCUGAUUACGAUUUUACAAGAGAAAUAAUUUCAUAUAAUACUAAAUGUAAUAAUAAUAAUAAUGAUGAUGAUGAUGAUGAUGAUGAUGAUGAGAAUGAUGAUAAUGACAGCAAUUGCAAAACACAUAAUCGUACUGUACAUAAGAAUUCAAAUGUGAAUCGGCAGUUGUUUCCCUUAAAUAGUAAUACCACACAUGUCCCAAUACUAGAUACUUCAGUAUACCUGGACAAACAUGUGCAGGCAGUGAAUAUUAUCAAUGCUUAUACACGAGGUUAUUUAGUACGUAGAUUAAUGCGAACCGAACGCGUGAUUACAUUAAAAAAAAUAUAUAAAGAGGCAUUACAAUGUAUGCUUAAACUGCACGUUGACGCACCUUUAAAUUUAGCGGAAGUAGAUUUUCUUCAUCGUCUCCAAUUGCAGUGUGAUGCGGCAUCUAUGAAUAUAGUGGAUUUAUUUGCCCAAUCCCCGAAGAAGAAAAUGAAAGUAAUAGCGCAAGAUCGCGAAAUUAAGCAAUCUCGAACGGAACGUCCGACUUCGGCUCGAUCGUAUUCAUUCGCCACUCAAAAGACUUUAGCCAGAAGAAAUCUGAAGGAAUUCGAAUCCACAAUGACGAAGUAUCAGCGACCGGUCAUAAAAAAAAGUAUCGUUAGAUCAAGGUGUCAAACUUGGACAUCGGAUAUAAGAGACAAACUUAUGUCACCAAAUACGUUGCAACAAGGUAUUAGAAGAAGUACCAGCGCUGGAACUGUUCGGAAGCCUUGGCGAUGAGAAAGAGUGCCUUACGAUAUUAAUUAAGCGAUACAUCAAUCUUACUAUUAAAAAGCGGAAUUACAUAUAUAUAUGCGGCUCUCUCAAGCUGGCAAUUUUAUUAUUUCUAGCGCUUCGUACGCGUUAGUUACUGCCUUAAAAAGCACGCUAUAGUGCCUAAUUUUCCGAUUAAAUUUAUUUUUUAUUAUUGUUAUUUCUUGACUGACAUAAUAUUUAUCUGUGAUAUCCAAUAUAUUGCUUCCAAUUUUAUAUUUAUUGAAGCUACAACAAAGAUUUAUUAUGCGAGAAGACUUCAAAACAAAAUAUAUAUUGCAAAACACAGAGAUGCCCAAGUUAUGGGCGGACAAACGCAUAUUAAUUUUAUUGCGUUGACAUACUUUGAGAAUUAACAAUAUACAAUUCGUCUCGCGCCGGCAUGACUUGCGCGUAUCGUUCGGAAUAAAAGCCCUGCAGAUUUCCGUU